GGCCAGCGUGGCUUAGUGGUUAGAGUGUUGGACUUGGACCUGGGAGACCAGGGUUCAAAUCCCCAAGCAGCCA